rnacentral:rRNA from 1 species
CCGGCGAUGUCCGAAUGGGGAAACCCAGUGCAAUUCGUUGCACUAUCGUUAACUGAAUACAUAGGUUAACGAGGCGAACCGGGGGAACUGAAACAUCUAAGUACCCCGAGGAAAAGAAAUCAACCGAGAUUCCCCCAGUAGCGGCGAGCGAACGGGGAGCAGCCCAGAGUCUGAAUCAGCUUGUGUGUUAGUGGAACGGUCUGGAAAGUCCGACGGUACAGGGUGAUAGUCCCGUACACCAAAAUGCACAGGUUGUGAACUCGAAGAGUAGGGCGGGACACGUGGUAUCCUGUCUGAAUAUGGGGGGACCAUCCUCCAAGGCUAAAUACUCCUGACUGACCGAUAGUGAACCAGUACCGUGAGGGAAAGGCGAAAAGAACCCCGGCGAGGGGAGUGAAAAAGAACCUGAAACCGUGUACGUACAAGCAGUGGGAGCACCUUCGGGUGUGACUGCGUACCUUUUGUAUAAUGGGUCAGCGACUUAUAUUCUGUAGCAAGGUUAACCGUAUAGGGGAGCCGCAGGGAAACCGAGUCUUAACUGGGCGUUAAGUUGCAGGGUAUAGACCCGAAACCCGGUGAUCUAGCCAUGGGCAGGUUGAAGGUUGGGUAACACUAACUGGAGGACCGAACCGACUAAUGUUGAAAAAUUAGCGGAUGACUUGUGGCUGGGGGUGAAAGGCCAAUCAAACCGGGAGAUAGCUGGUUCUCCCCGAAAGCUAUUUAGGUAGCGCCUCGUGAACUCAUCUUCGGGGGUAGAGCACUGUUUCGGCUAGGGGGUCAUCCCGACUUACCAACCCGAUGCAAACUACGAAUACCGAAGAAUGUUAUCACGGGAGACACACGGCGGGUGCUAACGUCCGUCGUGAAGAGGGAAACAACCCAGACCGCCAGCUAAGGUCCCAAAGUCAUGGUUAAGUGGGAAACGAUGUGGGAAGGCACAGACAGCCAGGAUGUUGGCUUAGAAGCAGCCAUCAUUUAAAGAAAGCGUAAUAGCUCACUGGUCGAGUCGGCCUGCGCGGAAGAUGUAACGGGGCUAAACCAUGCACCGAAGCUGCGGCAGCGACACUAUGUGUUGUUGGGUAGGGGAGCGUUCUGUAAGCCUGCGAAGGUGACCUGUGAGGGUUGCUGGAGGUAUCAGAAGUGCGAAUGCUGACAUAAGUAACGAUAAAGCGGGUGAAAAGCCCGCUCGCCGGAAGACCAAGGGUUCCUGUCCAACGUUAAUCGGGGCAGGGUGAGUCGACCCCUAAGGCGAGGCCGAAAGGCGUAGUCGAUGGGAAACAGGUUAAUAUUCCUGUACUUGGUGUUACUGCGAAGGGGGGACGGAGAAGGCUAUGUUAGCCGGGCGACGGUUGUCCCGGUUUAAGCAUGUAGGCUGAUUGUCCAGGCAAAUCCGGAUAAUCAAGGCUGAGGUGUGAUGACGAGGCACUACGGUGCUGAAGUAACAAAUGCCCUGCUUCCAGGAAAAGCCUCUAAGCAUCAGGUAACAUCAAAUCGUACCCCAAACCGACACAGGUGGUCAGGUAGAGAAUACCAAGGCGCUUGAGAGAACUCGGGUGAAGGAACUAGGCAAAAUGGUGCCGUAACUUCGGGAGAAGGCACGCUGGUGUGUAGGUGAAGUCCCUGCGGAUGGAGCUGAGACCAGUCGAAGAUACCAGCUGGCUGCAACUGUUUAUUAAAAACACAGCACUGUGCAAACACGAAAGUGGACGUAUACGGUGUGACGCCUGCCCGGUGCCGGAAGGUUAAUUGAUGGGGUUAUCCGUAAGGAGAAGCUCUUGAUCGAAGCCCCGGUAAACGGCGGCCGUAACUAUAACGGUCCUAAGGUAGCGAAAUUCCUUGUCGGGUAAGUUCCGACCUGCACGAAUGGCGUAAUGAUGGCCAGGCUGUCUCCACCCGAGACUCAGUGAAAUUGAACUCGCUGUGAAGAUGCAGUGUACCCGCGGCAAGACGGAAAGACCCCGUGAACCUUUACUAUAGCUUGACACUGAACAUUGAGCCUUGAUGUGUAGGAUAGGUGGGAGGCUUUGAAGCGUGGACGCCAGUCUGCGUGGAGCCAACCUUGAAAUACCACCCUUUAAUGUUUGAUGUUCUAACGUUGGCCCCUGACCGGGGUUGCGGACAGUGUCUGGUGGGUAGUUUGACUGGGGCGGUCUCCUCCCAAAGCGUAACGGAGGAGCACGAAGGUUAGCUAAUCCUGGUCGGACAUCAGGAGGUUAGUGCAAUGGCAUAAGCUAGCUUGACUGCGAGCGUGACGGCGCGAGCAGGUGCGAAAGCAGGUCAUAGUGAUCCGGUGGUUCUGAAUGGAAGGGCCAUCGCUCAACGGAUAAAAGGUACUCCGGGGAUAACAGGCUGAUACCGCCCAAGAGUUCAUAUCGACGGCGGUGUUUGGCACCUCGAUGUCGGCUCAUCACAUCCUGGGGCUGAAGUAGGUCCCAAGGGUAUGGCUGUUCGCCAUUUAAAGUGGUACGCGAGCUGGGUUUAGAACGUCGUGAGACAGUUCGGUCCCUAUCUGCCGUGGGCGCUGGAGAAUUGAGGGGGGCUGCUCCUAGUACGAGAGGACCGGAGUGGACGCAUCACUGGUGUUCGGGUUGUCAUGCCAAUGGCACUGCCCGGUAGCUAAAUGCGGAAGAGAUAAGUGCUGAAAGCAUCUAAGCACGAAACUUGCCCCGAGAUGAGUUCUCCCUGAGACUUUAAGUCUCCUGAAGGAACGUU